rnacentral:rRNA from 1 species
CGAACGCUGGCGGUGCGCCUUAUGCAUGCAAGUUGAGCGAAGCUUUUUGGUAGUUUACUACUAGAAAUGACUGAGCGGCGAACGGGUGAGUAACGCGUGAGCAAUCUACCUUAGUUACUGGGAUAGCCCGAGGAAACUCGGAUUAAUACCGGAUAUUCUUAUUUUUUCACAUGAAGUUUUAAGGAAAGGUCAGCCGAACUAAGAUGAGCUCGCGUUCUAUCAGCUAGUUGGUGGGGUAAAAGCCUACCAAGGCUACGACGGAUAGCUGGUCUGAGAGGACGAUCAGCCACACUGGGACUGAGACACGGCCCAGACUCCUACGGGAGGCUGCAGCAGGGAAUAUUGUGCAAUGAGCGAAAGCUUGACACAGCGACACCGCGUGUGGGAUGACGGUUCUAGGAUUGUAAACCACUUUCAGGAGGGAAGAAAAUGACGGUACCUCCACAAGAAGACCCGG